rnacentral:sRNA from 1 species
UUUAUAUAAUCGAACAAAUUUCGGUAUAAUAUUAAUUUAAUUUUAGGAAAAUAAAAUAAAAAAGUAUUAUGCGCGUUGCAAAAUUGUGUUCAAAUAAAAAAACGCGUUAGGUUAAAUAAAUAAAUGUUAGGUGUUUGACAAAACGCGGAAUUAAAACCGUUAUUAAUAAUUUAAUUGUAUUUAGCCCAAUUUAAAUUUAGUAUAGUUAAUUGUUUUGUUUAAAGUUAGAAUGCACGCUUUUGUAAUUAAUUGCGGUGGUUUAAUACGCGACAAAAUUAAAAAUAACGACGGAUUUUACAAAACCGCCGAAAAUAUACAAAUAAUUGGAACUUUUAUAAAAAACCCUAAUUUUUAAAUAAUUAAACGCCGGGAAACAAACGCUUUUUUAAAAAAUAAUAUUGCGGAAAAAUAUAAUAAUAAUUUUUUGGUUGUAAAUAUCCAACCUUUUUUUUUAUUAAAUUUGGGGACGUUUAUAAAAAAUAAACGUUCGACCCAUUUAAAAAACCCUAUAUACCCAAUUUGCUCGAAAUUAAAAAUGGCGCCGAUAGAAUUUUUGGAUCGUUUACCCAAACCCCAAUUCGCAAAAAAAAACGUACUAUUAAAAAUCCCAUUCCGAAAAAAAAAUUAUCCAUUACCAAACGUAUUUUUUUUUCCUAAUUAACGUUUAUUUUUCUUUUGCAAUUUUAUUUUACGGAUUUAUAUAAAUAUAUUAUUAUAACGACGGUUAUUAUUAGGAUUUUUUUUUUAAAUUUAUCGUUGGAAAUUAUAAUAAAAUAAUUAAUUAAAACGAUAUAAAAUUGGUAACGGGAAAGUUAGUGGUGGUGGCGGAUCGGUUAUAUUUACAAAUUUAAAUUGCGACGUAAUAAUUUCCCUAUUUUGCGCGUUAUUUUUGCGUUAUUAUUAUUAUUUAUUAACGGCGAAAAAAAUAACGUAAUAUUUUUUAAUUACGCCCUAUUUUAAAUAAAAAUUUGUCCGUUUUUUAUUAUUUUUCCGGGAUCCGGUUAUAUUUAUUUUAUCGAAAUUUAUAACUUUUUUUUCCGAAUUUUCGUAUAUUUUGUAAACCAAUUUUCCUUUUAUAUUUAUUAUUCCGUUAAUAUUUAAUUUAUUUGGCCGGUUAUUUCCCUUUUCCGUAUAUUCCGCCACGUUUUCCAUAUCCGCCUAAUAUAAUAUAUUUUCGGAUCGUAUAAUUUUUUGGUUAAAAACCUCCAAUUUAUCGCCAAUUAAUUUUUAUAUACCCAAUUAAAAAAAAUUAGGACCGUCGAAAUCGAAUAAAAAUAAUAUUUCGUUUUCCUCGUUUCCCCAAUUAUUUUAAAAUAACAAAUACGUAUAAUAUAUCAUAUUAUUAUUUGUUAAUAUUAUAUAAUAUUUAUUAUUAAUGCGAAUUUGUACGAAAUUUUCCAAAAUUUUACGCAACGUGUUCGCAAUAAACCCCAAUACGGCGCAAUAUAUAAAAAUUUUUCGCAAAUUAUAGGUAAAAUUGCGGUUAUUUUUAAUAUUUAUAACAAAACCCCUAUUAAUAUAUUUAAUUACUAAAUUUGCUAAUUUAAAUCCGUUCCCGGCCGUAAUAUAUUUUACAAAUGUUAAUUUCAAAAUUCCCGUACGUAACGGCGGAUUUAUAAUUUUUGGAUAUAAUAAUUAAAUUAAAUAUAAUAUUUUUGGGCCGUAAUUUUUUAUUUUAUAACCGUAAAAACUUAAAACCAAUUGCGGUAUUAUUAUUUUUAAUAUAUCGUAAUUUUUUUCGUAAAACGCGUUAAUAAUAAUUUAUAAAAGGUUAAUUAUUUGCAAAUAGCGGCGUUACGUGCGGAAAAUAAUAUUAAUUUUGGGGUUAUUAUUUUAUAAUUUAAUAUUUAUUAAUAGGUUAAUUUAACCGGCAAAUAUAUUAUUAUAAAUUCGGUAUAUUAUAAACGUAUAUAAAUUUGGCAAUAUUCCCGAAAAAACCUGCUCCAAUAUUUUUUUGGAAAUAUAUUUCUUUUCCAAUAAAUUAUUUUGGAUUAAAGUGGCGAUUAUAAUAUAUAAUAUGCGGGAAUAAAAUAUAUUUUGUAAAAAUUGUAAAACGUGGUAAAAUUCCUUUUUAUUUUUUUAUAAAUUUCGAUUUUUUCCUCAUUUUAUUAUAUAUAUUAAUAUAAUAAAUAUAUAUAUUUACCAAAAAUAGUUAAUAAAAUUAAAUUCGAUAUAAAAAAAUCCUGGUAUAAAUAAUAUCCAUUAUUUUUUAUCGAAUGGUUAAAAUAAUUCGAUAUGGGUUGUUUAAAUAGUACGGAUAUAUAACGUGGUUUUUUAAUCCCCGUAAAUAAAAAGGAAAAUAAACAAAUAAUCGAAAUUAAUAAAUUGCAAAUUUAAAAAAUAUUUAAAAAUCUUUUUAUAAAUUUGCAUAACGUUUAUAUAUUCCCCCUCGUUUUUUUAAAAUGGCAGGGGUUUAAAUAAAAUAGGAUUUUAAUAUAACGCGUGCGAAUAUAAAAUAUUGCGGGAUUAUAUCGGGCGAAUAGGGAUAAUUGGGAAAAAAAUAAUUAUAAAUUUGGUCGAAAAUAUAAUAUUUGGCGCAUUUGUAAUAAUUAUCCGGAUAUUGCAAAAAUGCGGACGUUUGGAACCAUUUAUAAUGGAAAAACACGGUAAUAUAUUAUUGGGUUUACGUAUAUUUUUCGAAAUUUGGAAUCGAUAUAAAAAAACAAAACAUUAGGUUUUAUAUUUAAUUAUACCGCCCGUAUCCGAAAUUUUGCACUUUUUUUAAAAAAUUAAAAUUAUUAUAUACGAAAAAUAAUAUUAGGUUA